AAAUUGGUGUAGCCUUACCGUAGUAGGCAUUCAU
rfam:Bacillus anthracis str. 'Ames Ancestor' plasmid pXO2, complete sequence.